rnacentral:rRNA from 2 species
UUAGACCUCAGAUCAGGCAAGAUUACCCGCUGAACUUAA